GUUAAAGCGAAGAGCUAUAGAUAGAGUCUUCACAACUGCUAUCAUUAACAAAGUGAGAGAGGUCACACCCUUUCCUUUAUUCUUUUCCUUUAAUUUUGGAUAUAAUUUUUGAGGGCAUCUAUUUUAGCGAAGCUUUUGUGUUUUCUGUGUAAAAAAGAGUCAUUUUUAGAGAGAGAUAAAAAAACGGCUAAAUUUGCUUGUUUUUCGGCUGCGGAGAAGCGGAGAUCGAGGUAGGGGGUUGUAUUGGACAAGGAGAGUUACCCGUUUGGCAACCGAUUUUUGAGGGGACCUUUUGGUCAUUUCGUGGUUGCUGAUCUGGUUUUUGGAGCAGUUGCAGAAGUGGGGUUUCGAGAUUGGUGGGAUUUGAAUCCAAGCAUCUGUUGGGGAGAUUAUAAGUGGAAAAGGAAAAACAAGCAAACGAA
rnacentral:misc_RNA from 1 species